CGCACAUUGCGCCCGCCAGCAUUCUGGCGGGCAUGCCUGUUCGAGCGUCAUUUCAACCCUCAGGCCCUGCCUGGUGUUGGAGGACUGCGCAUGCAGCCUCCCAAAGACAGCGGCGGCGGCGCCCCAAAACCGAACGCAGUAGUUACUUCUCGUUCUGGGUCUGGGUCGUUGUCCUGCCGGAAAACCCCCAUCUUUUACAUGGUUGACCUCGAAUCAGGUAGGAAUACCCGCUGAACUUAA
rnacentral:misc_RNA from 1 species